AGUCUAGCAUGUGCGCGAGUCAUUGGGACUCAAUAAACCUAAAGGCGCAAUGAAAGUGAAAGUCUGUUUACGCGGACUUAGGGAGGAUAGGUGCGUACACGUUGUGUAUAAUUUCGCACUCCCGGGGCGUCUCGCACUCAUUGCGAGGUGGGGCGCACCAAGAGCGUACACGCUGGGACCCGAAAGAUGGUGAACUAUGCCUGGUCAGGACGAAGUCAGGGGAAACCCUGAUGGAGGUCCGUAGCGAUUCUGACGUGCAAAUCGAUCGUCGGAACUGGGCUUAGGGGCGAAAGACUAAUCGAACCAUCUAGUAGCUGGUUCCCACCGAAGUUUCCCUCAGGAUAGCUGGCACUAGAUUAUGGAUGAGUCUCAUCCGGUAAAGCGAAUGAUUAGAGGCAUUGGGGUCGAAACGGCCUCAACCUAUUCUCAAACUUUAAAUGGGUGAGAUCUCCGGCUUGCUCGAUUUAUGAAGCCGGAGAUCGGAUCAAUUAGUGCCAAGUGGGCCACUUUUGGUAAGCAGAACUGGCGCUGUGGGAUGAACCAAACGCAGAGUUAAAGCGCCAAAAUCGACGCUUAUGGGAUACCAUGAAAGGCGUUGGUAACUUAAGACAGCAGGACGGUGGCCAUGGAAGUCGGAA
rnacentral:rRNA from 1 species